rnacentral:lncRNA from 10 species
GUUGGGGAGGCUCGGGCUGCACAGGAGCCCACAGGAGGAGGGGAGGCUCAGGCAUGGCAGGCUGCAGGUCUGGAGCCCUGCAGGGCGGCAGCUAAGGCCCAGCAAGAAGUCGAGCACAGCAGCUGCUGGCCCAGGUGCUAAGCCCGUCGCUACCGGGGCUUGUAGGCAGGCCGGCGGCUCCGAGUGCUGGGCUGCCGAGUCCACGCCCACCCGGAACUCGCGCUGGCCUGCAAGCGCCCCGCGCAGCCCCAGUUGCCGCCCCCGCCUCUCCUUCCACACCUCCCCGCAAGCUGAGGGAGCUGGCUCCGGCCUUGGCCAGCCUGAAAGGGGCUCCCAUAGUGCAGCGGUGGGCUGAAGGGCUCCUCAAGCGCAGCCAGAGUGGGCGCCAAGGCCCAGGAGGCACGGAGAGCGAGCGAGGGCUGCCAGGGCUGCCAGCAUGCUGUCACCUCUCAAUAUUAGGAGCAGAGAAGCCAGCUCAGCCAACCUGGCAUUCUGAUCUAUAGAAACUGAGAGGUCCAGCAUGGGCUUUGAGAGUCUGCAAUGGGAACUAGCUCCCAGAUAAGCCUGAUGUUUCUGCUCUUCAGGCCAUGCUUGGAGAGGCAACGAGCCAGACAGCACUGAGCCUUAGAAGAAAAGGAGGCCAGGCACGGUGGCUCACGCUUGUAAUCCCAGCACUUUGGGAGGCCAAGGUGGGCGGAUCACGAGGUGAAGAGAUUGAGACUAUCCUGGCCAACAUGGUGAAACCCCCGUCUCUACUAAAAAUACAAAAACAUUAGCCGGGAGUGGUGGCAUGUGCCUGUAGUCCCAGCUACUUGGGAAGCUGAGGCUGGAGAAUCUCUUGAACCCGGGAGAUGGAGCUUGCAGUGAGCCGAGAUGGAGCCACUGCACUCCAGCCUGGCGAAAGAGUGAGACUCCAUCUCAAAAAAAAAAAAAAAAAAAAAAGAGAAAAGAAAAGACCUCUGUCCCUGAGACUAAAUUAGGGAAAGGGACGUGAUAGGUCUAGAAACCAAAACUGAGAAGAGAUCAGAGAGGAAGUUUAUGCCAAAGGACUCUUAGCUCCUUCAUGAAAUAGGAGUGAGCUCAUUUGUUGAGAAUGAGUGUGAAGCAUUAAGGACUUGGAAACAGUGGGGAAGUUUUGGAUGAACUGUUGUAAGAUGCUUGUUAGGAGAUCAAGAAGAGACGAACUGCUUUUUUUGGUGAGAUGCGUUAAUAACAUAAUUAAACCAUGGAAUGAAGUGUAGCCAUUAGGAAAAGGAAGUAAAGAUGAUUUUCCCCAAUUAAAAUUAAUGAGAUAAAUUUCACCUGCGGUAGCCACAAUGCGCUUACUAAUGACUACCUUAGAAGCCUCAGGAAUGCAGUUCACUCCAUCACCUACACAUUUGAAGCAGCCUACCCCAAAUCUAAUUCAGUUGUCUAAAUCUUUUCUACUUACCCAGUAUUCUGCGUGAAUAACAUAAAAAAUACAGCUUCUAUCUGUAAUCAGGCUGCCCAGAAACAAAAACCAUAUGGAAAAGUGAGAGCUUCCAGAUUGUUUAAUAUAUGGGCAAAGAGCAGUUUUCAAUUUAUCCAAGUUAAUUUUUCCCCAAGCCAUCAUCCUAGUUGGCAUCCACCCAGGACCCUAGGUCGACAUUAAUCCUUCAGCAGCAGCAAAUGGCUUGAGAAUCCCUAAUGACCUGAAGUUCUCCUGGUGUCAGCUUGGCUCAGCUGCACCUCAUCUGAAAAACAACUUCCCCUCUCAUCAUCUGCACAGCCUCCAAUGCUCCAAAUUGAGGACUCGCUCUCAGAUGUUGCCUUGGAAUUUGGUUGUAAGUGUGGAAUGAACAUUGUUAGAAAAUGAACCUCUCUUAUGUGUUAUUCUGCUCAUUAAAAAUGGAAUAGCAAAAAGAGAAAAUAAAUGCAGAAAUUCGUCAAAAGGAGUCCCUUGACUGCCUCCAAUAUUCACGGGGUUCGCUAUUGAAAUAUGAAAAGACAAAUGUGGAAGAGCAGAAUAUGAACAGACCUGAGACACAGGCUGAGGGCAGAAUCAUAGCCUUGCCGGUCUCCCCUGACCGGUUAUAACAGCGACUGCAGCUUCUCAAGUUUAAUAAUUUUACGUUAUGAUCACUCCUUCAUUAUUAAUAAUGUUAUGUAAUAUGAAUUUCCCUGCCUUUUUCAACUUCUGAUAAUUUCUACCCAACUAAUUCCCAAAACUCUGCUGUAUUCCUCAGCAAGUCUUAUCUGAAGCUGUUUUCCUCUUCACUAAAUUAUCCCAGCUGUUCAUUUCUCAUCACCCAUCAUCCCUCUCUCAUGGUUAUUUACAUAUCUUAUCUCCCAUAUUAAACUCUGAGCUUCUCAAAGACCAAAUUCAGAGCAUCCUUGUUUUAUAUCCUCCAUAACAUCUAAUUUUAUUUCUAAAGUUUUUACCUAUAUGAAUGUUGUUUAUAAAAAAAUCCAAUUAGAGACUGACACAGAGCUAAAAUAAAUGGUAAUUAUAAAAACAUGUUUCCACUUCAAUUCUGGAAUUCAGUUAAGUACAAUCAAGGAUACCACCUCAAGUUUUCCCUAUAUGUAUAUGUGUGUGUGUGUGUGUGUGUGUGUGUGUGUGUAUAUAUUUUUUUUUUUUUUUGAGGUGGAGUCUCGCUCUGUCACAUAGGCUGGAGUGCUGUGGUGCAAUCUUGGCUCACUGCAACCUCUGCUUCCUGGGUUCAAGCAAUUCUCCUGAGUCAGCCUCUCAAGUAGCUGGGAUUACAUGUGUG